rnacentral:rRNA from 1 species
ACGGGGUGCAGCAGGCGCGAAACCUCCGCAAUACACGAAAGUGUGACGGGGUUACCCAAAGUGUUCAAUUUUGAACUGUGGUAGGUGAGUAAUGUUCCCUACUAGAAAGGAGAGGGCAAGGCUGGUGCCAGCCGCCGCGGUAAAACCAGCUCUUCAAGUGGUCGGGAUAAUUAUUGGGCUUAAAGUGUCCGUAGCCGGUUUAGUAAGUUCCUGGUAAAAUCGGGUAGCUUAACUAUCUAUAUGCUAGGAAUACUACUAUACUAGAGGGCGGGAGAGGUCUGAGGUACUACAGGGGUAGGGGUGAAAUCUUAUAAUCCUUGUUGGACCACCAGUGGCGAAGGCGUCAGACUGGAACGCGCCUGACGGUGAGGGACGAAAGCCAGGGGAGCGAACCGGAUUAGAUACCCGGGUAGUCCUGGCCGUAAACGAUGCAUACUAGGUGAUGGCACGGCCAUGAGCCGUGUCAGUGCCGUAGGGAAACCGUUAAGUGUGCCGCCUGGGAAGUACGGUCGCAAGG